UGGGUGUAGUCUGAAUUUUAUUUUAAUUUAUUUUUCAUCAUUUCACAGACUCCUGGGACAUUUUAAGUAUGGAUCAAGUCAAGACAAACAUGAGAUGCCUUGGUUGCUUGUCUGUAAAAAGGACCUGGGCUUUUCCAGUGCAGCAGCACUCCUGUCCAGCAGUCUUUGCAGAUCUCUGCUCCUGCCUGUGGCUGAAGCAACACUGCAAUGGGAUGCUGCUGCUGCGUCACUUGCAUUCUUCACCCCGACCCAGCAGUAACUCUUUCCAGACUACCAGGAGCAGUCCAGGCACUUAUUUCCUGCUCCAUUCCCUCUCCAAGAGCUUUGUGCAUAGGGCGAGUGCAUCCCCUCUCCCUCAGCAGAGGAGCUGCUGCCAGCUCAGACAGAGGUCUCGGUUGACUGCAGAAAGGAGAAGGGAGGAGCAUGUCAAAGGGAGGUCAGAUCCUGCCAGGGUUUCCUGGGAAAUGAGGUUUCGCUGUAUUUUGCCUCUUCGGGGCUGA
rnacentral:lncRNA from 1 species